rnacentral:rRNA from 1 species
AGACGGAGGGGGCUAGCGUUGUUCGGAAUCACUGGGCUUAAAGGGCGUGUAGGCGGUCUUCCAAGUCGGGUGUGAAAGCCCUCGGCUCAACCGAGGAAUUGCACACGAUACUGGUCGACUAGAGUGCGGCAGGGGUAAGUGGAACUCCAGGUGUAGCGGUGAAAUGCGUAGAUAUCUGGAGGAACGCCGGUGGCGAAAGCGACUUACUGGGCCGCAACUGACGCUGAGGCGCGAAAGCUAGGGGAGCGAACGGGAUUAGAAACCCCAGUAGUCC